AUUGAACGCUGGCGGUAUGCUUAACACAUGCAAGUCGAACGGUAACAGGCCUUCGGGCGCUGACGAGUGGCGGACGGGUGAGUAACGCGUAGGAAUCUGCCUCAUAGUGGGGGACAACGUGGGGAAACUCACGCUAAUACCGCAUACGCCCUACGGGGGAAAGCGGGGGAUCUUCGGACCUCGCGCUAUGAGAUGAGCCUGCGUUAGAUUAGCUAGUUGGUAGGGUAAAGGCCUACCAAGGCGACGAUCUAUAGCUGGUCUGAGAGGACGAUCAGCCACACUGGGACUGAGACACGGCCCAGACUCCUACGGGAGGCAGCAGUGGGGAAUAUUGGACAAUGGGCGCAAGCCUGAUCCAGCAAUGCCGCGUGGAUGAAGAAGGUCUUCGGAUUGUAAAGUCCUUUCGGUCGGGGACGAUGAUGACGGUACCCGCAGAAGAAGCCCCGGCUAA
rnacentral:rRNA from 1 species